rnacentral:lncRNA from 1 species
GGGCCAGAGCUCGUCGGGGGCUGGACGGACGAAUCCUGCAGAAAAAUUGGAGGAAUCCUGCAGAAAAAUCCUUGAGAGGUGUCCCCGGGGGGGCUCUGAGCCCCCCUCCACGCUUCGGGCUCCUCGUGCCUUCAUGCCCUGCGCUUUGGGUGCAAGGAAUAAAGGAGAACGGAAGGCAGCCGGGUGGAAAACACCAGUUUUUGAGUGCAAACUUGGUAAAAACGGGAAGGAUUCCACCCAAACGGGAGGUGAGUGGACAGCACGGGCCCCUCCAGCCUGGAUUUUCGCCCGUUUCGGAGCCGUUUGGAGAACCGCUGCCGCCCGUGGCACAGGGGAAGGUUUCGGCGCCCAAAAAACCCAAAAAGGAGCCAGGAGACGAAUUCCACAGCUCCAAACCUGCAUCAGGGCUGGGAUUCGGCACCCCCGGAGCUCAUCUCAGCCCCGUGAGCCUCAGCGGCACUGCACGAAAACCCCAAAAACCCCAAAAACGCCGUCAGUGGCCGUGGCAAACGCCGUCACCGAGCCCUGGGAGCGUCAGCACGGUGACAAUGUCACCCCGCGGGGACAAUGGGGCCGUUGUGCCGGCCUCAAUGGGGCUUUAUACGGCCCCGGGGGGGCCAAAAACGCAGCCCCCAUGUCCCGGGGCGCUGAGGAAGGGGAAGAUCCGGCUCUGCUGUUGACUCUUCGCCCCGUGCCUGCCGCCGCUCGCCCCGCUGACGUCCGCGGGGUUUGUCCACAAACACGCCUCGGUCGGUGGGGUUGGGGCUGGAAGCGGGAGCCUGGCCCCGAUUUUACACCUCCAAACACCUGGUGUCUGCGGGGAGGGGCUGGGAUUCGCGGUUACGUCUACAGAGAUGAGUUUGGCAUCACUUUUAUGUCUACAAACACACGUUAUGUCUACAGGAAUGAGCUUAUUUUCAUGAUUACGUCUACAGGAAUGAGUUUGUCUUUGAAUUACAUCUACAAACACGACUUUGGCUUCAGUUUUACGUCCACAAACACAAGUUUGACCUCAAUUUUAUGUCCACGAACAUGCAUUACGUCUACAGGAAUGAGUUUGACUUCACUUUUACGUCUACACACACCCGUUACAUCUACACACACCCGUUUAACUUCAGUUUUACGUCUACGAACACACAUUACGUCUACAGAAAUGGGUUUGUCUGUUAAUUAUGACUACGAACACCUGCUGGACUUCACUUUUACGCCUACAAACACCCAUUACAUCCACAGAAACGGGUUUGUCUUCACGAUUCCGUCUACAAAGACGAGUUUGACUCCAGUUUUACGUCUACACCCACCCGUUUGACUCCACUUUUAGGUCUCCAGCCACGUCGCGUCCACAGCAACGAGUUUGUCUUCACUCUUAGAUCUACAACCACACGUUAUAUCUACAGAAAUGAGUUUGUCCCCGUGCCCACGUCUCCCAGCACUGCCUUUGACCCCACUCUGCCCACGCGGGCAUCGUCCCCACGAGGAUUUCCUUCCCCCCACACCCCCGGGUCGCCCAAAGGCUGCUCCACCCCUGGGGGAGCCGACGUUUUUGGGGUUUUGGCCAGCUCUGGAGGACGCUUCGUGCUCUGCCCCUCGUUCCGACGCUUCCCCAGCCCCAUUUUUGUUUAUUUUUGGGCUUUUUUGGGUUGAUUUCGCCGGGAGGAAGUGGCGGCCGUGCGGCAUCAGAGCGAAACCGCGGCACCGAAAUAGAGCCGGGGGGGGGGCAGCCCCCCCCCU